CCCAAACAGCCAAAGUACCAACAGUCCAGACGUUAGCAUUUAAGCUAGCUGUGAGUUAGCAACGGGACACAGGAACCGUGUGUUUGUCUGUCAGUGCUGUGGCGAGUAGCUAGUGCCACGGAUGGUUAUUGCCUAAGGAAGGAGACUGCUGUGUGGCGUGUAGUCCAACCUCAAACGUGUUUUAUACACAU